rnacentral:misc_RNA from 1 species
UUUCCGUAGGUGAACCUGCGGAAGGAUCAUUCAUAAUAAGUGUUUUACUGCACUUUUUAAAAAUAGUACUCACCUUGUGUGCAGUGUUGUGUUUCUUUUCGGAGAAACACCUACACCAACCUAUAACCUUGAACCACUUUGUCUGAAAAACUAUUAUGAAUACUUAAUUCAAAAUACAACUUUCAACAACGGAUCUCUUGGCUCUC